AUUGAACGCUGGCGGCAUGCCUUACACAUGCAAGUCGAACGGCAGCACGGGGGCAACCCUGGUGGCGAGUGGCGAACGGGUGAGUAAUGCAUCGGAACGUACCCGGAAGUGGGGGAUAACGUAGCGAAAGUUACGCUAAUACCGCAUAUUCUGUGAGCAGGAAAGUGGGGGACCGCAAGGCCUCACGCUUUCGGAGCGGCCGAUGUCGUAUUAGCUAGUUGGCGGGGUAAAGGCCCACCAAGGCGACGAUCCGUAGCGGGUCUGAGAGGAUGAUCCGCCACACUGGGACUGAGACACGGCCCAGACUCCUACGGGAGGCAGCAGUGGGGAAUUUUGGACAAUGGGCGCAAGCCUGAUCCAGCCAUGCCGCGUGAGUGAAGAAGGCCUUCGGGUUGUAAAGCUCUUUCGGCGGGGAAGAAAUUGCUUCGGUUAAUACCUGGAGUAGAUGACGGUACCAUCAGAAGAAGCACCGGCUAACUACGUGCCAGCAGCCGCCGUAAAAC
rnacentral:rRNA from 1 species